UACGAAGGGGGCUAGCGUUGUUAGGAUUUACUGGGCGUAAAGCGCACGUAGGCGGAUCGUUAAGUCGGGGGUGAAAUCCUGGAGCUCAACUCCAGAACUGCCUUCGAUACUGGGAAACUUGAGUCCGGGAGAGGUGAGUGGAACUGCGAGUGUAGAGGUGAAAUUCGUAGAUAUUCGCAAGAACACCAGUGGCGAAGGCGGCUCACUGGCCCGGUACUGACGCUGAGGUGCGAAAGCGUGGGGAGCAAACAGG
rnacentral:rRNA from 1 species